AGUAUAAUAUUGUGUGUGUGUUUGUGUGUUGUGUGUGUCUCUGUUAUUCUGUAGGUGGUUAUCGCCAGCCCUUAUAAGCUGUACAGUGCGUUUCAGGCAGUGAUUGAGAGCAGAACUAAGGCUACACAUUGCACUGUCACUCUGAUGUUGCCCACCACACUGUGUGUGAAGGGGGAACGGGAGGCAGGGCAUUGCACCGUCAGAAAGGUUGGUAAUGUGAUGCCACACACUGAGCUCACUCUCCAGUAUGGACCAGGAGACCAGAGGGAACACAGCCAGGGUCUCUUGUCUACAGGUAGUGUAUGUAUACAGCUCCAGGUGCACUAUAGGAGGAGGGACGGACUGAGCAUGCUCAGAGUCAUCACCGUGAACAAAGAGGUCACCAGCAACAGGUGGGAACAAUGACCACAGAGUCCAUACUAGACUGUUGAU
rnacentral:lncRNA from 1 species